GACGAACGCUGGCGGCGUGCUUAACACAUGCAAGUCGAACGGUAAGGCCCUUCGGGGUACACGAGUGGCGAACGGGUGAGUAACACGUGGGUGAUCUGCCCUGCACUUCGGGAUAAGCCUGGGAAACUGGGUCUAAUACCGGAUAGGACCACUGCCUGCAUGGGUGGUGGUGGAAAGCUUUUGCGGUGUGGGAUGGGCCCGCGGCCUAUCAGCUUGUUGGUGGGGUGAUGGCCUACCAAGGCGACGACGGGUAGCCGGCCUGAGAGGGUGACCGGGCACACUGGGAGUGAGGUACGCCCCAGACCCCUACGGGAGGAAGCAGUGGGGAAUAUUGCACACUGGGCGCAAGCCUGAUGCAGCGACGCCGCGUGAGGGAUGACGGCCUUCGGGUUGUAAACCUCUUUCAGCACCGACGAAGCGCAAGUGACGGUAGGUGCAGAAGAAGGACCGGCCAACUACGUGCCAGCCGCCGCAGUAACAC
rnacentral:rRNA from 1 species